rnacentral:misc_RNA from 1 species
GAAACUUUUAAAUUCGAGAUCACGAACUUGGAUCACUUUAAAAUUCAAAUUGUUUUGCAAAAUUCAAAUUGUUUUGCAAAAUUUAAAGCCUUUUGCAUUUGAACCGCUUGAAGUUUCUCUUGCCUAAGCAAAAUGGAUAAGCGUCACAUUUUAAAAACAAGCCUUUUAUAAGAAGUUCUUUUAUAAGCAUGAUUUCUCAUCAUUAUAAAAACUGCUACCAACACUUAAAUUCAAUGGACCGAUAAAUCGGCAAAUAAACGGAUAAAAGCAAAUGGAUAGGUAAAUUGGUGGGCCUGGGAGGACUUGAACCUCCGACCUCACGCUUAUCAAGCGCGCGCUCUAACCAACUGAGCUACAAGCCCUCCGAGAUAAACCGGAAAACCUUCCCCAGCAUUAUCUAAAAAAGCAUUAUCUAAAAAAGCUUUAUCUCAUAAAAGCAUCAUUUCAAAAAACAAAGAGCUUUCCUUAAAGCUUUUGAUGAGAGCUUACUUGCGUAGACCGCCAGAAGGCUUGGGAUCA